rnacentral:rRNA from 1 species
GUCCAGACUCCUACGGGAGGCAGCAGUGGGGAAUAUUGCACAAUGGGGGAAACCCUGAUGCAGCGACGCCGCGUGAGUGAAGAAGUAUUUCGGUAUGUAAAGCUCUAUCAGCAGGGAAGAUAAUGACGGUACCUGACUAAGAAGCCCCGGCUAACUACGUGCCAGCAGCCGCGGUAAUACGUAGGGGGCAAGCGUUAUCCGGAUUUACUGGGUGUAAAGGGUGCGUAGGUGGCAUGGCAAGUCAGAAGUGAAAGCCCGGGGCUCAACCCCGCGGACUGCUUUUGAAACUGUCAGGCUGGAGUACAGGAGAGGUAAGCGGAAUUCCUAGUGUAGCGGUGAAAUGCGUAGAUAUUAGGAGGAACACCAGUGGCGAAGGCGGCUUACUGGACUGUAACUGACGUUGAGGCUCGAAAGCGUGGGGAGCAAACAGGAUUAGAUACCCCGGUAAU